rnacentral:tmRNA from 1 species
GGGGGCGAAAUAGGAUCGACGAAGGUCUAAAGGACUUAGCUUUUGCCCGGCAUGAUACCACCGUUAUCGGGUCACACAGAAUAGUUGCCAAUGACAACUAUGCUGAGGCCGCUCUCGCUGCGUAAUGCAGUGCGAAUAGCCUGAACUUGAAGCCCUUAUCCUUAGCCGGAUAAGGCGCGGUUCGGAGGGCACCGGGCAACAGAAGCCCUCCACU